GUGUGUUUUAUUUAAUCAUUUGCCAAAAUAAAUCUUUUAGACCUACAGAGAAUUAAUUUUUUUAUUUUUAAUAUUCUCAAUGCACUUGGGGUUUUAUUUCCCACUAGAUCUAUUAGUUUAAUUUUAGUAGGGGACAGACUGUGUACUUAACCAAAAAUUGCUUUGACAUUAUGGAGAAUUAAGAGGCUUGGGCCAGAUAGAUGGAGCUGAUCGAUCUGCUUGAGAUAAACUCUAUUAUUUCCCCAAGAACUUUCUGCACCUUAAUGGUGAAGACAGUGAUUGGAAAACACAUCACUGUCUGAUCAUGACUAGGCCAGAGGGUCAGGGCUCUCACUCCUGUGUCUUUUACAGACACCUGGAGGUCACCUCCUUGGCAAGAUAUUGUUGGAACACGGCAGUGGAGGUGUUUUGAGGGGCUGUAAUCACUUGUAGCACUUCCAAGUGUCCAUUUCUGCCAGCUGUGGUUUCCAUGUGAGUGACCAGCCUUCUGAAGAAUUGACCGCAUAUCAGGGAACCAGUGUGACUAUAGGACUCAAGGCAUAGAACUGGGGAUCCAGGGAUGGGCAAGUCCAGGUCCGAGAGCAGAACAGCCAGGAAGUCUUUCCUAAGGAGCAGUGGCUGAGUCUCUCCUCUUGUUAGAAGAUGCUGGGAUGCUCAGCUUCUGUGGAAUGGAUAAACUGAUGCCUGGGCAGUAGCUAUGUAAAUUGUCAGGGUGGGUGCAUACUACAAGAUUAUGGUCUUGUUUCUCCAUCACAUUGACCUCAGGAGACGCUCUGAAUGUGCCAGUUCCAUUAAAGGAGAGCCCUAGAUCUAGGACCCCAAGCUUGUACCAUCCUUCUAGAACUGUCUGGACCUUCACCUAGAAGUCUCUAUCCAGAGCAUCUCCUUAAGGCCAGUAGAAGACACUCUGGCAGUCCUAGGCAGUUAAUUGCGACUUUCCCUUGAAAAGACCAUGUUUACACUUGGGUGUGCCUUUCUGUCUGAGCACCUCUUUUUCUCCUGCCCUAGUGGUAACUAUGAAUAGUGCAAUAAAGCAGAUGGUCCCUCUGUCCCUUCAACAUUGUCCUGGCCUGUGUGAUCCCUGCAGUUCAGCAGAAGUUUUAGUUCUGACCUUGUCUAGGAACUUCAAGGCUGAGCCCUGGAAGCCAACUAUACUCCUUCAUGCUACAGUCCUGAACAGUCCUGCUGCUCAGAGUCUGCUCAGCUGGCUGGAAACUUUUGCCAGAAAGCCUUCCUGGGGAUUUCUUCUCCUUUCAUGUUUGUCUGUUCUCAUACCCAGAAGGGUCCUCCUGUGUAGCUAAGUUGUCAUUCUGGAAGGCCCAAGUCUGCUUUCAUCUCCCAGUCCAUCUCUCAAGGGUCUAGUGAUUUCUGGAGCUCUGCCUUGAGUACUCUGAGGCGUCAUCUGGGCUAAGCAGGGAGGUGUGGUGAUUAGUGGUCUGCUGUUGGCAUGGGAGGUGACAGGGCAGGAUUUUCGAUAUCUGAGAUGGAUCCCUGGGCCAUUCUUACUAAUGCACAGAGUUUCUGUCUUUGCACACUUACCUCAAGGCCAGCAGAGGGACAGCUCCACUUGCCUGUAUGGGUCUGUGCCUGGAGCUGGCAGACCUGAGGAAACUUACCACCCACCUAUCUAGUAUGGACAGCUGUUAUUGAAAGACCUGUGGCCGGCCUGAACCUUUUCAGGGUGGGAGCUGUGCCCAGUCCAUCCUUACACCUGCCCAGACACAUUGCUCAGCAUGUGGCUGGUGUUCAAUGGAUGAUGGGUGGCAGGAAGCCAAAGCCAUUGUGUGGCCCCUGCCGAGUUCCCAGGCUGCUCAAAGGAAUUUAGGCCUUCGUGGUCUCAUUCUGGGAGCUGGCCCAUCUCUACUGUGAGACUAGAGCAUGGGGAGUGCAGGAUAGUCUCAAGCUCUGCUUUGACAUCAUCUCUAGCUUCAAAGCCUUGCUGGAUACAGCUGUGUCAGUUUUUCCUCUAUACUAGAAUAGUCACAGGCAAAGGCACAGAAGGAGCACAGGAUGGACGGGAGCAUUGUGUAAGGGCACCUGCCCUGGUGUGAGUGGCCAGACUCUGGCCAUCUUGACUGCUCUAUUGGUGCUUAUGCCCAGGUCUUGGAGGAGCUCCCAGGCACUGCUGUGACCUUCACGCCUGAAUCACCCCCUCAGACUUUGUCCUGCUGGUAGACUGGCAGCUGCCAAUGCUGCGUGGUUUGUGAAAUGUCAGUGGUUUAAUAUCAAUUCUGGAGGUUUUAUUGCCUCCCCCCCCCUUUUCUGAUGGGAUUUAAUCCAAUCAAGGCUGAUCCAGAUGAUGGUAGAUUUGUGUUCCCAUCUGAAGUUGACAAAAGGUCACCCUGCCGGGGAGAGGGGCUGUCUUGAGCCAGCACUCCUGCUUUGCUCUUCCUCUAGGCUCUUCCCUGCAUCGUGGUCAGGUGAAUGCAGUGCUUGGCCGUGUAGAGCCAUUGUCAAGGCCAAGGUACCUGGAGGUUGAAGAUAUGCAGUUGUCAGCAGCGAAAGGCCCUGGCUUCAUCUGCAGAAUGUCUUGAUACUUCAGAUCUGACUUCAUUUUUCCCAACAAUGUUGUAAAAUACAAUUUUCCUCUUUCUGGGAAGCAAAGCAAAAGUACCAAAUGAGAUUCUCUUUGUGGGGAGAGCCCAGCCUUAUGUCAUGCGGGCUUGUGCCUCUGUUCUCUCUCUAUCUCAGCAUUGGGGCAGCAGGAACUACACAUAGAUCUUGACCAAAUGGGUCAGUAGGCUCAGAGUCCACUUUUCCUUGCUAGGGAUAGGCUGGCCCACAUAAUUGUAACAUCUUCCUCUGGUCUGCCCAGUGGCAGAUGUUUAUGACUUUCAGGGUAUGCCAGGGCCGGGUAUGAUCAGAUAGAGGAAAGAAUGGGAACUGAGGCAGGAUAGAAAGCCAAGAAACAUGGGGACACAAGGAUGGAGAAGGGCCCUUCACCCAAGAAUCUGGCUGUUCUCACUAACAGUGUAGGAAGACUUUCAGUACAAUUAGCAAUUAACUAUUUUUCCCCCUUUCUAAAUGUAAACCUACAAUUUAGUAGGAAUCUCAGCAGAGGCACCAUAUUCAGAGAAGAAAUAUACUAAACUCUCUGUGCAACCAUAGUGGCUCCUGGCCUCAAGAGAUUAUAAUUCUGCCCAAGGAACCUUCAGAGUCACCCUGUAAUUUCACUUAUCGAGAGAGAGAGAGAGAGAGAGAGAGAGAGAGAGAGAGAGAGAGAGAGAGGUGGCUGAGAUUUCUUAUCAACCUUUAAGGUGUAACUUGAGAGCCACCAAAGUGGUGUACAUGGCAAUUGCUAAGACAGUUAACUUCCACUCUCCCUCAAGGAGCCCGUAUCUAUACUUGGGUAGGGUAGUCUCUGGGCCUGCUUCCCUCUUGGCCCACAUUCUGCAGAGCCAUGCUGGGUUGCCCAUGGGGGUUAGUGGAUGGUAACCCUAGGCUCAGGUGGCCUAAUGAUCUGUACCUAGGUCCUUCCCUAGCCACAGAAGAGGGCUCAACCUCCCCAUACUGUUUUGGGGCAAUGUCCCCUCCAGAUGCCUGGAAGGCUGCAUGAGAUGUUCCAGAAGCCUAGGGCACACUGUGUAUUCCAAGACCUGUGAAGACCAGAUAAGAAAGGGGUGGGGCUCAUUGCAGAGAUACUGGGAGUGCAGAGAAAUCAGAGAUGUUUGUCCACAGAUACCCUCUGGGCUCUGGAAGAAAGUGCCAGAAGGAUCUACCCUUCAGAACAGGAAAUUGUCUUCCAAACACUAUUUUUUUUUGCUGGGGCGGGGGGAGGACUUUUAUUAUUUAUUUAUUUAUUUUUGAGACAGGGUCGCGCUCUAUAGUCCAGGUUGGCCUCCAUCUCAUGAAUCCUAAAUGGUGGGAUUGUAGGCCUGUGCCAUCACAUCUGGCAAGCCUGACCCCCUUCCAAACCUGGUCCACUGCCAACCUAACCAUUUUCUAUGUCUCACUAGGUUGACAUCCGUGAGGUCAGUAGGAGGAAUGCAUGACCUCUUUCUGUCCCUCCCUGGGCCCAUUGCCAUAAACUAUACUUAACCUUCGGGAUGUUCCCAGCUCUGUCCUUUUCUCUUUACUGCUCAGCCACCACCCUAGCUCCAGCCUCCAGCCUCUGCUGGUUGAUGCCCAGGAAUCCUACUGUCCUGGCACUGAGCACUGAAAUUCCUGUUUGAAAGGUGCUCAGUAGUCAUUUGGAGUCAUGAAGUCCAUGCUAAAGGGCAGGGGUCUUUGUACCAUUUUCCCUCUGGGAUUUGGCUGUGACUACAGACAGGCAUCUCUGAUUUCUCUGCCUCUGUUGUUGCUAGUGUCAUUUAGUUCCUAGAUACUUUGUCACUUGGGGUCAGAGUGACUCACUGACCUGAUGCAUUAGAAAUCCUGUUGCAUUUUCUCCUCCUUGUCCCUCAGAAUAAUCAGUCAUGGAGCAACUAUAGUGUGCCUGACAGAGUUGGAUCGCAACAAGCAUUUCUUGGAUUAAUAAAAAGUGCAGACAUACAGGUAUUCACUUGUACACCAGUUACUUUGCUCAUUACUGGGACAGAAUAGCUGACAGAAGCAGCUUAGGUUGGGGGGCGAUUUAUUUGGGGCUCACAGUUUCACUGCAGAAAGGCAUGGCGGCUGAAGCUGCACAGUCCACAGUGGCAGGGACUUUUGGUAUGGUUUGUUCACGUCCUGGUAGAGAAGACAUAGAAUGGACAUCAUCUUCCAGGCCUGUCCUCAGUGACUCACUUCAUCUAGUUGGGCUACAGUCCCAAAGGUUUCAUAUCGUCCCCAGACAGUCCUCCAGGCUGGGGACCAUAUGUUCAAACACUUGAACCCAUUGGCACACAUUUUUAAACUGUAAUUCUUGCUUGUGAGAGAGUCACAACCUCUCCCACCUCACAGAUAGAAUACAUGAGCUCCAGACACACGUAGUGGGGUCUCUGAAGGACACAGGAGUGGCACAGAACAGAGACUAAGCCUGUCCGCUGAGCAGCAGAGGCUGCCCUCCAGACCUGCCUCUGUGUGCCUGCUGUCUUUUCUUUCCUUUCUUCCAAAUGAAGCGUUUUCUCUCUCAUCUCAAGUUGGGGACUAUGUAGACACCGCCACCGGGUUAGUCAGUGCUGUCUCUGGUGAGCAACUGGGUAAUUAUUUCCAAAAAUAUUGACUUGUAAUGUGAAGAAAGCUCUUCUCCAGGCCACCCGUCAGCAGAAAAUUGCCUCUGGUAUUAACAUUUCAUCAACCACAUAAUGUGAAUUGAUGUAAAUGCAUAAUUAGAAAUAAUAGUCUGGGAAAAUUCACUCUUAUUUAUAAAAUUGGGCUUGUUAAAUUAAAAUGGGAGCUAACGACUUCCAUUUCCCCAGUAAAACAUGGUCUGGGUUUUGCCGGCUUUGCAGAGGUCCUGGCUCAUGUCUCUGGGAGCUUUUGUGCACCCACAACUGGAAGGAGAUAGAGGGAGAGAGAGAGAGAGAGAGAGAGAGAGAGAGAGAGAGAGAGAGAGAGAGAGAGAGAGAGGUGAGAGAGCAAGAGAGUUCUUUGAGCAGGCACAGACAUCACCUGUCCUAAAGGUGCUCUGCAGUCACAUGAAUGGGCCUCUCAGAAACAUCUCAAUCACAAUGCAACAAAUGGCAGUCUUGAGAGAAGAGGACUGGAGAUAAAAUCCUUGGCUUUCAUUCUCCUGGGGGAACAGCGGAUAGCUUACCCUCUCACCUGAGUCCCAGGGAUGACAAAGUACUAUAUGGAUAAGAUAAACCUUGCCUCCACCUUGUUCUUACUGGGCAAGUGUGCCUAGUCUCCAUCCCUCAGCCUCUGACACAGAAAGAUGACCUGGUCCUUACCAACCAGGACCUCUAAUGCCUGGCCACAGUGGUUGCAUGGCAUUGGAGAGUCUAUCCUAAGUUACCAGGAAAGCAGGCCUUGAAACUAGGAGAACAAAGCAGGUGUGCAGAUGGCUGGAGCCAUCUUUUUUUAUGAUCUCCUGCCCAUCCUUUCUGCUUCUACACCCAGUUGGACUGUGAUUUCUCAUCAGUUACAAUCUGUCAAGGUUUUAAGCAUUGAUUUAAAAUUAUGUCCCUCCUGCCUUAGCCUCCUGAGUAUCUGGGAAUACAGGUCUAUGCUACUACACCCAGGUAAGUCAAGCACCCCUGAUGAUGGGGAAAACUCAGAACCUUGUAUAUGCUAGGCAAGCACUCUCCCACUGAUCUACACCCAGCCCAAGCUGGAAUUGAUACUUUGAAUAUUCCAUUCUAGAAGCCCUGGAUCCCUUCAGACAGCUUUACCUUGGCCUGUAUUCUGUCCCUCUUCUGAAGCCACGAACUCGGCCAUCUUAGCAAGCAGAUCCUACAUGCUCUGAAGCCAGGUUCCCAAGGGCCUGAGGUUCAGGAGGGUCUUCUUGUUUUAUUCAGCUGCAGAGUCUAAGGUGAAGUCAGCAGAGAGGGGAUUAUACUGUGGGCUUUCUCCCCCCCCCCCUCUCUCUCUCUCUCUCACACACACACACACACACACACACACACACACACACACACACACACACAAACAUGCAUGUAAACAAGCAGAUGUCGUCCUUAUAAUGACAGGUAUAAAACUGUGAUAAAGAGGAGACAUGAUUGAGGAAGCUCCUUUAGCUAGUCUGUGGUCCUGGUAGCCAUAGGAGGAGAGCUCCCAAGGCCUCCCCUCUGGUGGCAAUGCACUUGGGAUCCAUAGAGUGGGGUGGGGGUCUCCCUGGUUUAGACAGGACAUGCAGAGUGAUGCCUACAAGGGCCAAUGGCUGUGCCUACUGUGCCCUGCUUCCUUGUGUUGGUAGGGGUCUGAACUUCCUAGGAAAUGGCCUAUCUUUUUUCUUGAAGCUGACCUUCUAUAAGGGAGUAAAAUUAUCCAUAUUUCACUUUUGAAGUGGACAAGCCUCUAGCCACACUAGGGAUGGGCUAGCCCAAGGUCACACAGGGGUCAGGGACCAAGAUCUGGUUUCAGACUUCCUGGGGCCUGAGUCCUUGGUGUGGCUGGUGUCCAGCCAAGGCUGAGUGGUUUGCUGGGUAACAAGAGCUGCCUGCUUGCCCCCAGCCCCACCUGGCUACCCAGGGCAUUGUGUUGGAGGAUGGGGUGACAAGGAGGGAUGCUUACAGUCCUGCAUGCAGCUCCCCUGGCCUUUCCCUCUUCCUCCCACUCUUCUAGGCCACACAGGUUCCCUUUUCAUGUGGAAAGAAAGCUGAGCACUUGUCUCCAGGAACAGCCGGGCCUUGUCCGCUCAGCUGUGGCUCACUGGUCCAGACAAUCCCGGCUAUGUCCAAAGAGCCCAGAGGCUGACGGAAGCGCCUUGGCCGGGGUCCAGGAACUGCAGGGGGUGGUGGGCUUUGAAGCUUGAGCUUGCAGGAUGCCUGUCCUUCAGGGCCUCUGAAUUUCUCUCACAGCCUACCAGAGGGUGUGAGAGUGGAGGACUGCCAGUGAGUCCACAGUUCCAGGCCUGGCUUCUUUCUCACCAGCUUCCAGGCUCUCAGAGGCUAGAGGAUACGUAUCAGCAACUGCAAUGGGGCAGGGUUGCAUAGGCCUGAGGUCUCAGAACCAAAUUAACUUAAAAAUGGAAAGAAAACACAGAGCCCCCAGAGGGACGGAGGCUUUUUCUUCACUCUAAGGAGGGCAGUGGAGACUGCCAAAGCAGGCAAGUGUGCUUGUCUCCAGCUCUUUGUCUCUUGUCUCCCCAGGGACGGGCCUCUUCCCAUGGUGCUUCAUCAGGUGCAGAGACCUCUACUGGUCAGGGCUACCUGACCCUCACCCCCACCCCCACAACAACCAUCCUCAUCUUCCCAUUCGUCAGCCCUGGGCUCUGACCUGUUGCCCUCAAGGAAGGUUAAGAUUUGUUCUUAACCCAUUAUUCCCAGUUCCUUGCAAAUCCCAUCUCUAUCAAGAUCAGCUAGCUGCAUGAGCUCUGAUUGUGGCCAACUUUGCAGCUGAGUCUCAUGGUGGUCAAGUUACUGGCCCAGGACUACACAGCAGGCUGUCUGCAUCUGUUGCAUGAGCUCUGAUUGUGGCCAACUUUGCAGCUGAGUCUCAUGGUGGUCAAGUUACUGGCCCAGGACUACACAGCAGGCUGUCUGCAUCUGUUACUCCAAAGCUUGUCCUCAAAGCCAGCAGGCUCCAUUGCUUUUCUGUACAGCUUGGCUCCUGCUGCCAUGUCCUCUGCCUGAAAAAUGAUUUUCUUUAUUAAAAUGGCAAACAUCUAUCGGGUAUCUAUCUUGUUUAGUCUUGUCUUUAUAUUGUUGGAGGGGAAAUAGUUCAUGAACAAGCAGAUAAAAUGGAAACCAGUGCUGAAGUCUAUAUAGAAAGUUGAAAACGGAGUGUGCUAUGGCAUGUCUCAGGGUACUUUAGAAGCAAUACCAGGGAAUGCUACCCUGAGAACCUUGCAUCUAGAUGACAAGGUGGAGGUACAGAUGUACAGAAAACAGAGAAAAGCAUCCCAGGCAGAGGGAAAGGUCGUGCAAAAGUCCUAAAGUGCAGAUGAGUAUAGCAUUCAGGGAAUGGUGAGCUGUGGAUUUUGGAACUGCAGGAAUGGGUGCAGAGUUGGGAGGUGUUGAGCAUAUGAUCAUGCAGAGCUCUUGCUACAAAUGAGCCUCCAGAGUAGAUGUAUGUCACUAGACCCAGGCUCCACCACAUCUCCCUGCUCUUCAGGAACCAAGGCUUGGAGAGGAGCUGUGGGGGUAGGCAAGCAGGUGAAGGAUUCUUACAGGUAAAAGUUUGCUGGCCUAUGGCCCAGUGUUGGAAGAGCUGAGUCGUCACAGAUGUUCAGGGUGCAAAGUUACUUGGGGCAGUAGAGUCCACAGUUGAAGGCCUUUAAGUCUCUAUGACUAAAUACUACAGAAAAGCAACUUAAAGGAACAAAGAUGCUAGUUUCAGUCCUUGCUAGCUUGGCCCCAUGCCCUUGGGCAAAACAUCUUUGAGGUGGGUGGUUGUGGCAGAGAGCUAGGAGAGAAAGGGAAAGGUCUGAGGGAGAGGAGAGGGAGGGGGAGGCAGAGAGAGAGAGAGAGAGAGAGAGAGAGAGAGAGAGAGAGAGAGAGAGAGAGAGAGAGAGAGAGAGGAGAGGGAGGGAAGGCAGGGAAAAGACACUCCUAAGGAUACAUGGUUAUUUACUUCCUCCUGCUGGGUCCCCUUUCCUUUAGUUUCUACCUUCAGAAACAAGCCUGUGCUUUUUUGUUUUGUUUUGUGUUUUCAAUUUGACGCAAGUUAGAAUCAUCUAGGAACAGGGAAUCUGAAUUGAGGGAUUGCCUCCAUCAUGUUGCUUAUAGGAAAGUCUGUGGAACACAGUAUUGAUUAAUGAUUGAUGUAGGAGGGCCCAGCUUGCUAUAGAUGGUACUAGCCCUGGGUAGGUGGUCCUAAGUUGUAUGAAAAAACAAGGUGAGUAAGCCAGUAAGCAGCAUAGCAUUCCUCUGUGGUCUCUGUGUCAGUUCCUGCCUCCAUGUUCCUGUCCUGAGUUACUGCCUUGACCUCCCUCAGUGAUUGACUGUGAACUGGGCGUUGUAAGAUGAAAUUAACCCUUUCCUCCUCAAGUAGGUCUUGGUCAGUGUUUAUCACAGCAACAGAAACCCAUUAAGGACAAACACUCAAUACAGGAAACUGUGGGAAUAGUUCAUAUUGAAGUCAUAGCAGGGUAUAAAGGAGCUGUUCUUGGAGUCAGAGCUGGGGAUAGAUCAGAAGAGGCUGGGAAGUGCAGGGCUGGGCCAGGCAUGCUUGGAUUUCUCUAUGGUCUCUGGUCUCUAUAAUGUAUAAUCCUGAGAAAGGAUGCACACUUCCUGUGGCCUAGACCCUUUUGGACCUGAGAUGGACUACAGAGUACUCUGACCUUGGGGUAGAUACCUCUGAACUUAUUAUGUCCUAGAACUUAUUCUGUAGAACAGGCUGACCCUGAACUCACAGAGAUCCACCUGCCUCCACCUCCCAAGUGCUGAGAUUAAAGGCAUGUGCCACCAGCACCUAACCAGAGAGACUUUCUUGAUUUGAAGACCACAUGUCUAUUAUUAUCAGACACCGAGGAAGAAUGGACUAUGAGUUUAAUGUAACUCAUAUCCUGCUGGCUACAAUGCUCCUUUGGAUGUCCAGUGGGGAGAGGUCCUGAUUCUGGCUGGCCAUGGACUCAUUUGCAGAAGGGACAGGGCUCUCCUUGUGUUGUGGCAGGCUAUGAUUAAGCUCAUCAAAUGAACCUUCUUCUAAUUGCUGUUUUCUGUGAGGGACACAGGCACCCCUUGACUCUGACAAUGACUACAGCCAGGGUCCUUUCCCUGAAAAGUCCAUGGGAUAUACAGGAUGCAUACUAACAGACCCAAGUCAUCUUCUAAUUCUUCAACAUUGAAGCCUGGAGCUGAUUUUUUAGGCAAAUGAAUACAAACCACAGUAGAAGCUCUUCACAACAUCGGCAGUAUUAUUCACCUCACAAUUGUUGAAAAUUAAAAUUGUCCAUAGCUUCUACGUGCUUUCUCCCUUCAUUGCAAUUUAAGAACCAACACCAUUUAGCUCAUCAAAAAUAAUACUAGCGAGGAAAAUGGCUUUUCUCUUUUAAAAGCCCCCAACAUUUUGCCUUAAUGUGUUCCUUGGAAGAAAGUAAUUUACAAUGCAGACAAGACAAUUAUCUGACUGAUUUAACACAGUGGACCAUGCUGGUGCCCCACCCCCAUCUUUGCCUGUAGGGACCUGGUAGGGGGAGAAUUCUAUUCUGGGGCAAUUAUUUGGAACAACCAACUUGGACCUGUAGCUUCUAACAUUUACAGCAGAUUGACAGGAGCCUGGCAGGAGGUUCCUCUUGACUUUUAGUCAUUUUGGAGUUGGACUUAGGCUUUUCCAUGGGGACUAAAACUUCCCCCUAUCAACUGGGAGCUUAUGUUCACACCCAUAAAUCCUACUUGAAGCCUGAAGCCUAAAGCUCAUCAUUCACAAGUUACCUCACCCCAGGUCACCUCUUAGGUGCAGUAUCUGCACCCUGCUUUCCUUUGAGCUAUCUAGCUAUGGAUCAUUGACCUGGAGAGUUGUGGGUAUCUUUCUCUCCAGGAGCAGCCCAGAGCUGGACUAGUUGAAUUGAGGCUAAAUAUCCAGUUUCCUUCCCUCUUGGGUGGGCAGUUCCCAGACCUGUUUUGUACAGUGGCUCAGAGGUGCCCAUGGGCUGGGACCCCAUUUCUCCCAAAGGUAAUGGCUCAGGACCACAUUCUAUGUUGUCCUUUGCCUUUCCCAUUUCCUUUUUCCCUAAAAAACUAAUUGAGAACAGGUGUGGUGAUGAAUACCUGUAAUCCCAGCUAUGGGAGGCUGUGGCAGGAGAACUGACAGUUCUAGGCUAGCCUGGGCUACAGAGCAAGACCCUGUCUCAAAAAAUUAAAGAGCCUACAACAACCAGAAAAGAGAGGGAGGGAGAGAGAAAGCGAGGCAGAGACAGAAAGACAGAGACACACAGAGAGACAGAGAGAGAGGGAGACCAAGACUAAACAAAACAAAUCUGUUUUUGCGUUCUCAGGCUUUACUCUUGUAUGGACAAAUAUCUGCCCACUCUAUCUAGUGUUACACAGGUAUAGAUCAUCAAUGACAGACCAAAGUAAAGAUUCACCUAAGUGAAGUUUAUUAGGAGCGUUCUUGACUUAAGGCAGCUGCAUCAAUGAGAAGUCUUACCUGAACAUAGGUCAGGACUCACGAAAACUGCAGCCCUGAAACCGUCCCUUAGUUCACAUCCACAUUCUAUGUACCCCAGUGCUUCCCAGGACCGUGUACAGCUGAGGCAGGGCAGGAGUGGUUGAUGGAAUACCAGAUGAGUGUUUGCCUAACCCCAGGAUGGAAUGUCAACAGCCCUAUCUCCAUUACCAUAGACAAGGUUGUCACAGUGUGGGUCUGCUUUUUAUUGCAAUGGCUUCAGGCCAGGGUCUUCUGUAGGCCACCACAGCUCCAUGGUGGCCUGUGGUCAUGUCAGGCCACAGGAAAUGGGUCUAUAUAUGAUGACUCCUGUGAUGGGGGUGGGCUGGACCAAAUGCAGUCAGCAUGCAAGUGUCCUGGAGGGAGGAGCCAGGAAACCUGUUAGCAAUUUUGAGGCUAUGUGGAGAAAUGUUGGAGUUGCCAGGGCUGGCUAGCACCGGAAGAGUUAAAGCAUUAAUAGGCACAUUACGUGCAGGCUUCCAUGGUGGUCCCCAUUGCAGUGCCUGGCAACACCCCAUGUUGUUCUGAGUUCCCUGCUCUGGAGCACUCAGCUGGAGCUGGAGUGGAUACUCUGCAACUAUCCCUCUUCAUUGCUCAUCAGCCUCUCUGUAGUGUAGCACAUGGCCAAGAAGCCAUUUAUCAACACCUGGGCCACCCAGCUCUAGCUCAACUAUUUGGCUACAAAGAAGCCACAGAGCAAAGGGGAUUUCCAGUAUGCUGUGGAGGCUGCAGAAGCCAGAUGCCAAGGUACCAUCUUGGGCAGCCUCCCUUUGCCUUUCUGCUCUUUUGGGAAGUUCCUCCUUGCUUCCUAUUGCAGUUCCAUUCCUUGUUUGGGGCUUGGCUGAAGUCACUGAUGUCCAUGUCAGUGACUUUCCUCGUCCCGAUGACACAAUACCUGCCUGAAACACCUUGAAGGAGGAAUGAUUGAUUUUGACCUACACUUUUAGAAGUUAUCAUGGUGAGGAAGGCAUGGGGCAGUUGAUGGAGGCAGGAGCAGGGGGCUGGGCUCCUCACAGCACCUCUGGCAGACAGGAAGCAGAGAACAAAACUAGACAUGAGGCCUAGACUGUGGCCCUCAAAGGCCUGCCCCUAGUGACCUGUCUGCCAGCAUGUCCAAACAUUCCAUAGUCUCCUAGGCAGCACCUCCAACAGGGAGCACUUCACAUUCAAACUAUAAUGAGACACGGAGCACAUGCAACAUACGAAGUUCCCCUCCGUUCCCCCUUGCCUCUACCUUCAACAGGGAGUUACAGACUUGUGAGCCUGGAGCUGCAGUUGUCCCAAUCUGGCCUCAGAGGAGCAGUCCUGAGAGUUCUGCUGGCUGUUGUGAAGAGUGGACAGGAGGGACAAGGUCCUUGCUGACCACCAUUAUCCACACAGAACUACUGCCCCUCCUGUGGUUUGACCUUCUGAUCCACUAAUCCUCCCUCUUUGAUGAACUGGUUCCAUUUGUUUCUGUCACUUGUCACCAAGGGUCCUGACUGUCAUAUCCACAUUAAGCCAUAUGUGUGCAGCCACAAAGGCCCUUCCUUUGGUAACCCUAAUGAUGGCAGUGGCAGGGAAGCAUAUCCUUCUGUAGAUCUGCCUCAGUGCAAUGGGUGUCACCUGCCACCAGUCCUUCAAGGCAAGCCCAAGCAGUGUUCAGGGGAUGCAGGCUGAAGAGAACAUCAGAAGAACCAGGGCUAUGACUCCCUCAGCUGCAGCUCACAUAAGCUGAUCAGAGGAGGUGGGAUAAUAAGAAGCUGUAUGAAUGUCACCCAUUCUGUAUGUUGGUGAGAAAGAAUCUGGUUGCAGCUGGGCACCUCAUGUGUCAGAGCGCCAGGACAGUCCACAGAAGUGGGAAUAACCACUCCAAUGGCUUGAGUUUUCUAGGUAUAAACCUGUCCCUUGCACAUGGUGUUUGUGAACACAUUCUUUCUCUCUCUCUCUCUCUCUCUCUCUCUCUCUCUCUCUCUCUCUCUCUCUCUCUCUCUCUCUCUCUCACACACACACACACACACACACACACACACACACACACACACACACACACACACACAUCUGAUCAGACAUUCUGCCCUGGCAGUGUUUCGGGUAAGAGGUCACCAAGUGGCCUGGUACCAAGUGGGAAAAGGGUGGGUGCUUGCCUUCAGGGGCUCAUGAGGUUUCCAGGAUGACAGAGCUAGAAGGGUCAUGGCCUUGGGAAUUGGGAGCAGAUGCUGGGCUCUACUCCAUACUUCCUGGAGUCCUCUGGACCUAGACUUCUAGAACUGUCUUGACCUGGUGACUCAGCCUGGUGGGUUCCCUGCCUGAUGGGUCUGUGAGGUCUUGACAUCUGGCAUGAUUCAGAUCUCACCUUUUGAAUGCUGGAUUCCCAGAUCUCCUGCUGUUGCAAAGCCUUUAGGAGUUGGGGCCUGGCUAGCAGACCCGAGUCUCCAAGAGCAGAUGAUGAAGGGUAUUUUUUCCCUGGUUCUGGCUGUGCUGUCUGCUUCCUGAUCUGCUGAGAAGUGGAGAGUCUCCUCGACAUGCUGCCAAGACCUCCAUUAUGCCUUCCCUUCCCUGAAGCGGUGCCCAAACCAGCCCUUCUUCCCUUUAGUUGCUUCUGCGGUCACAGCUUCUCAAAAGUAAUGAAUGCUUUUCAUUCUCUGCACUUGGGUCCCCAGACCUGGCUUCUAACAAGGAAACAGGCUGAGUCUAUCUGCUAAGACCCCCUAGCCUGUGAGAGACUUUGGGGCUGUCUUAUUGUCUAGCCCAAGACAGGGACAGAUGAAUGGUUGACACGGACAUUCAUGUAAACCAGGCUUGCUGCUCAGCCUCUUCCUGAGCUCCACAUCUCUUAUGGAGGAAGUUCCUAAUGUUAUCCCACCACAGACCAUUUUGCUGCCAAGUAUAGAUGACAGAACUGUAAACUUAUGUUGGAUGAGGGUUUCAAAAUGGAAUGAUCAUUCAGAAAUGACCCAAUCACUUAUUUGAGGUUUUGACAAUCAAAAAUGAAUUUCUUCAGAUCAGAAAUGGAUCUUUACAUUUCCUCUCUCUCUCUGCUUCUGUGGGGGCUGUUGCUCCCAAAUCUGCUUGCAUCAUGGCUCAGUGAUGUUUAGAAUCCAGAGUAGUUUUCUGGAGACAGAUGGCAUUGAUUUCACAUUUGUUCCACUGUGCCUGCCUCUCACAAUGUAUUAGCAUCAGCUCCUGACAUGCAACUACAGAAGACAUCAGAAACGAUUUGAUCUGUCACUUAAAAAAAAAAAAAAAAAAAUUUGUGCUGGCCCUAGUGGGCCAGGCCUGUAAUCCCAGCUACUUUGGAAGCUGAAGCAGGAGGAUCAUAAGUUUAAGGGCUACUGAGUUUAAAAUAAGGCUGGGUAAUGCAGUGAGACCCUGUGUCAAAAUGAUAGGUAAUGAGUGUUAAGGGUCUUGCCCUACACACACAGCCCUGGACUCCAACCCAGUAUUAUAGGUGUAUCCUCUGCAUGAGGAGAGUUGGGAAAAUGGACUCUUCAUGGACUAUAGAGGGCCCAUCUCUGCUCCUUUCUGCACGUGAUCUUGUCCCUGGUAUUUCUGACAAUUGCUUUAGUUGCUCAGGAUGGGGGGAAACAUUGUGUGGCUGUUAUGUCUCAGUGUGCCAUGAAGAGCAUGCUGGGCUCGAGGUUCACAGGGUAAUUGCUGCAGGUCCCUGUGACUUUGGAAUGCCAUUGUUUCUCUUUGAGCCUAAGUUUGUCUGUUGGUAAAAAGGAGAGCCAUCUCUCUUCCUCACUUUUUCUCAUGAUCCAGGAGAGGGUAAAAGAGUAUCUGGUACUCAGAUGCACAUGAAUCAGGCUUUUCAUUUGGUAAUAGUAGGCAUUAGAAUCUCAUAUAUGCAAGCAUGUACUUUACCAAUGAGCCACACACUCCACCUUUUCUUCCCCCCAGUGCUGGAAAAUGAUCUCAGGGCUUUGUGGAGGCAAAGCCAAGGCUCUGCUGCUGAGCUGUAUCUCUGGCUCAGAGUCUCACAAUAAGUCUCAGGUUGGCUUUGAAGUUGCUUUCCUCCUGGUUUUAGCCUCCCUCCUGGUACCUUACCACACCUAGCUCUUGUAACUCCUCUAAAGUCAGCCAGAACAGGAAGUUGCUGGGAGCCAUGUGACCUUGAACACCUGAGUAGUCAAGAUACAGAAAUCAAGGUGGUCCAUGGUUGGUGAAAAGUCUUUCAAGACAUUCUGGUGUGAUAUACAGAGUCUCAGAGUUGACAGCAGGGUAGGAAGGAACUUACUUGCGUAUGACUUCCCCAACACUACAAGCCCUGAGUUAUCACACCCAAGUCUGUCCAUAACAGUAGGGUCAAGGUUCCCAUAGAAUGAUUCAUGACACCACGCUGCACAGGGACAACUGGGAAUACCCACUGCAGAGAAGGAUAUAUGGGGGCCAGGCUGAAUCCAGUCACUGUGUGUACUCAGGAGAGGGGGUGCUCCUUCUCCCAUGCUCCUCAUCUGGGUAGCCUCUCGAUGCUCCUUCUGUCAGUUCUGCUCAGGGAAAUCUGAAUAUGCCAUGCCAGGCAGACAUUGGAGGAAAUCAACCCAGACAGCAGACACUUAGUCCUGCUUAGAAGGUCAUGCAGUUGUGGCUGGCAAGCUUGCCUGAGAUGCGGGAUGCUGCUGACGUAACAGCCUCUACCAGGAUGCCAUCUCCUUUCCCUCACCUAAAGACUGGCUUGAAAUAAUGAGCACCAUCAGAGUAGGAAUCCCACUGUCCUGAACUCCCCAGAGUUCCAGAGCCAAGACCCAUGCAAGGCACACAGCAGGGGCUUCAUCCAUCUACCCAGGCAUCUGCUAUUUUAGUACCCAGCACUAGGCCUGCUGGGCCACAUAGAGCCCAUCUCCCUGAGCUUGCAGGAGAUGCUGAGAAUAGACUAAUAAUUCCAACAGCAUUUUGCCAGGUUUCAAGUAAGUCUUACCCUCUUAGUCAUCUCAUUUCCUGGGGCUCUCGAGACCCUCUAGUGCCUUCUAGUCUGGCAUGCAUCUUCACCAAGGAUAGCCUUCUGAAUGAGCUCAUAUCUUCACAUAGAACCAAUUCCAUUAAUUGAUGUUUGAACAAAACAACUGUUUUCCGUUAAAAAUGUCCUACAAGAAAAUUAGAGGUAAGUCAAAGUUUUGUCUUCUCACGUCCGAGAAAUUGUUUUGGUCUCCAAGGCAGGAACAGCUUCUCCAAAAGACAAGAUGGCAGAUGAGCACAGGGGAAUUAGUGCUCCUUGUCAUGGGGCUGUCCUAUAUGUCAGCUUAGGGGCCUCCCCUGCAUGCUAACUACUGUACCCAACUGUUACUUGUUGGGAUGGAGAUGUGCAAUUAGCAAAAUAAAACUCUAGGAUGAAAAUAGUCCCAAACCCCAACUGGGAGCCAUGGACGCUGCUUUGACUGGAAUGAUACAGUUGGUAGAGAACUAAAACAUAUGCUUAUCAAGCAAUAGGGCAGUCCACUCAGUGACCAAAAGGCUAAGGAUUCAGCCACGGCAUGGUGUUCUACCCCUGGAGUGCUUUCUGUUUAUCAUUUCUCUGGGCUUAAUUCCCCCUUCCUCCACCCUCCCCCUGAAGUAGGCUCUACUGUGUGGAUGCCAUCUUUGUCCACAGGCUGUUAUCCAAUCCCAUUAGUUGCACAGAUGGAGUGUCUGCUUCACCAGCAUUUGUCAGAAAACAUCUUAGGUAGAAUGCCGUCAACCAAAUGAAGUCAUGUGUCUGUACCUGAACCUCUUGUAAUAGGGUGACUUGAACGAGGAAUGUCCCCCCAUAGACAUUUAGUCUCCAGGUGGUGGUACUAUUUGGAGAGGUUAUGGAGCCAUAAAUAUGUAAGUGCCAGGAAUGCAAACUCUAGUCCCCACACUUGCACAGAAGCGCUUUACACACUGAGACUCUCCCCAGCCCCAAGCACUCAUUGUUUUUAAAAGAGGCUAUAGAUUAAGAGAGAGGGGUGAAAAGGAGUUGAAAUCCACCAUGUACUAGGAGCCAUUUGACUUCAACCCAUUUCCAGGGUGGAGUUUCAGCAUGCAGGGGAUACUGCAUGACAGGCAAUCGGUUCUUGAUGAAGGAUCCUCACCAGGUUUUAUUUACUAGGUGAGUGGGUCUCCUUGUGCUUUGUUGACUCAGGAUGCUAGGAUUCUCUUCUGCAGGUCUCCUUUAAUUCCGGGUUUUGUUACAUUCAGUGCUUACCUUUCCCCACUCCCGACAGAUUUUCCUUUUCAAGCUUUUCUUCUCUGGUGCUCUACUUUAUUGUAAAAUAGCUUUCUUUUUAAGAAUCAGGGAUACUACAUUGCCUAAAUUUUUUUGUAGUGAAGGAUGCUAGUUUCUCAAUUUUUCUAUUUUAAGGAAUGCUUGAACCAUAUGUGACUUUCCCUUUGAGCUGUUUUCCGCGGGCUUUAGCAUGAAGCAUUAUUUGACCCUCCCCCACUGCCCCUGUCCUGCCCUCCCUCUUUCCCUUUUCUUCUCCCUCCCCUUCCUCAUUCUCUCCCUCUCCCUCCUUUCUCAUUCCCCUCCCCUCCCCUGCCUUCCCCUCUCCCUUCCUACUCUCUCCUUCUCCACUUCCACCCUCUACCCUUCCUUCAGUGUGUGUCCCACCUACAACUCUCCUCCCCUCUGCACCCACCAUGUCAUCUUCUCUCAGUUUCUUUUUCCUUUUUCUGUACUUCUGGAGUGAACUGGCAGUCAGGUUAAAAGACACACUCUACGCGAGCGUUUCUCAUGUUCCCUGAGUUCAGUCACAGCCCGAGACUGCCAGCCUGUGGAACUGCUCCCAUGUGGAAAUAUGUGGUUCCAAAUUUCAGCUUUCCAUUUUCAAUGCCCUCAGUGCUCAGUCAUCCCCUGAACUGAAGCAGGCUGAGGAGGAGUCUGAAUCCAGAGCCAGGAAACACCUGAAUGAGUUCUCAGGAGAGCAUCUCCAUGCUGCGAAGGGGAUCAUGAAGACUGGUCGCAUUCUUGAGAAGCUAACUUUCAGCCAAGCCUCCCAAAGGACCUAAAUGUAGGACACUUGGAGUAAGAAAAUAUGCCUCCUCAGUUAUGCCUGUAAACAUACGGAACACUUUACAAAGUUUUGGAAAGCACACAGAACAGCUCUGUCAGAGUUGACAGCUCCAGCUACACUCAGAGAAAUAAUUUGUGCAAUGCAAUGGGACUCCUCCAGCUGCUGCAGUGUCUAGAACCUGGGCACACAGUCAGCUCUGCCUCCUGGAAUCAGAGGCCUUCCUUCUUUCUCAGGAAGGGAUCCAAGCAUCAAGUCCCCAGAGCCAUUCCUCAGGGACAGUCCCCAAACACAACAUGAAGAACUGGCUCCUGCGCAUCCUAUCCUGGAAACAGAGUUAAGAGCAAGCAGGAAGGCUGACGGAAGAAAACAAGGCCUUUCUCCGCUGGUUCAUUUUCGUCUUUCAAAGGUCCUUAAAUUUGUGAAGAAACUGGAGCAUAUGGAGGAUUACAAGAGCAGAGGUAGAGACCUCCAUCCUAUGUCUGUGGACUCAAGAAGUUAUGAAGAAUUUGGAUGUUUUCUGUCUCUGAGAGCCUCCUCUCACCUUACCACCAGCACAACAGAGGGAGGCAGCGAUGGGGCAGAGCAAAUAUAAGACUUCAGAACACCGGAAGUUCAGAGAACAUACUUCAGGACAUUUCUAUAGACCAAGCUGUUAUGAUUCCUGAGCCAGCCCUCAACAAGCAUGUAGACUUGUUCGGAAUGGAUUUGUUUUGUGCCUGUUCUUCCUACUGUGUACUGCACUGGGACUGUAGGGCAUAAGAUGAACAGGGCAGGAGGAAAGCCAUCUUACCUAUAAUCCCCAGGGACCGUCAAGGAACUGGGCAUUGUAAUCUAUCUCUUAGGAGGCUCCUGUUGUGUGAUCCUAUUCCUGGGAAGAUGAGAACAGAUAUCUACUCACCCCAGAUAGGAAACUAAUGACAGAUCAAGGUAAUGAUACCACCAAAGUCCAACUUGGUGAACCUAAGAGUUUUAUUGGAGUUACUUAGAGGAACAUAAAUGACUCUCUGAAGCUGCAAGCAAGCCUCAAUUAAAUGUUUUCUUUUUUAAAAGUUGCUGUGGUCAUAGUGUCUCUUCAUAGCAAUAGAGCACUGACUAAGACAAUCUGCUUGGUGAGGGAGGGGUUUAGGGAAUCUUCAGGAAUUUCUGAAGCUUUUGAACUACAUUUUUAGCUUAAUGAGCUUCUCUGCAGGAUUAAAGGUCUCACCUCCCCUUAGAUCACCCUGCUGCUUCACAUUUCCAUCUACAUCCUGUGUCUUAAGGGGCUUCCCUCUAAUAUAGGAGGUUGUAAUUUUGAAGGAAAUAUUGUGUAACAGUUCCUUUGCCUAUAGAAAUUUGAGGACUAUCCCAUGGUUUCAGGUCACAUCUAGAGACAAGCACAGGGAACAAUGGCAAUAAAAGAUAAAUACCUGGACUUUGCUAAAAUUAAGAUCUGUCUUAGUCAAUGUUCUGUUGCUGUGAAGAGACACUAUGACCACAGCAACUCUUAUAAAGGAAAGCAUUUAACUGGGGUUGGCUUACAGAUUCAGAGGUUUAGUCCAUAAUUGUCAUGGGGUGAGGCAUGGCAGCAUGCAGGCAGACAUGGUGCUGGAGUGGUAACUGCUAGUUCUGUAUCCGGAUCUGUAGGCAACAGGAUGACAGAGACACUGGGCUUGGCUUGAGCUUUUGAAAAUCCAAAGCCCACCUCCAAAGACACUUAACAUAAGCUACAGUCAAGAAUAGGGAACCUCAACUGAGAAAAUGGUCUCCACCAGGUGGGCCUGUGAGGAAGCCUGUGGUGCAUUUUUGUAAAUAGAAAUUGUUGUGGAAGGGCCUAGGACACUGUGGGUGGUACUCUGGGCAGGUGAUCCUGAGGUGAAUAAGAAAGCAGGCUAAACAAGCCGCGGGGAACAAGCUAGUGAGCAGCACUCCUCUACAGUCUCUGCUUCAGUUACUUCUUCUGGGUUUUGCCUUAUGUCCCCGCUGCUACUUCCCUGGAUGAUGAACUCUAUGAAGAUGAAAUAAACCCUUUCCUUCCCAA